UCGAAUAAUUUUUCAAUAGGACGUAAGUAGUUUUUACUCUUCUUUGGAUAAUCUGGUUUGAAUAUUCCCAAUCUCAUUUUAAUUCCUAUUUAAAACCCAAGCCUUUUUGUAUAAUUUUAAUACGUCUAUAAGACGCCAUUUGCGAAUUAUUUUAAACAUUUUAACAAAAAGUCUCGAAAAUUGCAGAAAAUCUUUUGUUUUUUUGAAGAAAUACAUUUUACCACGUUUUUUCAACUGUAAACCAACAUACGCCGUUUUCAUAAGUCAUGCUGUAAGCCUGUGCGUGACAUUCGUCAAAGCGUUACGCUAUGUUAUCAUCUUGUUGUUUACAUAAGUCGAAGUGUUACGUCUUCGGCAAAACGUCAACAUUACUUACGACAAUCUUGACGUUAAACAAAAAAAUAGUGUUUGUCUCGGUGUUUACACACAAAGUCAACAAAUUCUCUUGCAUAAAUAGUGUGUAUUUGUUUAUUUGGUCAGCAAACCAUUCGCGUUCAGUAAUAUCAUAACCCGACUGCUCGAGAUAAAUUGCUGCAAAAAACCUACCAAUUAAGCUGGAAUCGAUAUCUUGUUUACGAGGAACAAAGAAAUUGGCUGCCGGCGCAGACCCUUGCUGGAUGAUGUUACAGGAUGGCACAGGACAAUAAUUGCGCGUAGAUGCAACAACCAGUCUUGUGGUAUCAAAAUCUACACGACAGAGAGAAGUUUUAAUUCCAAGUCAAAGUUACCUGCAUAGUGUAUUGGAAUGAACAUCAGAAGUGGACAAUCCCUGGAAUAGUCUAGCACCAAAUCAAUCCACAAACAACACGCCCGUAUUCUAAGAUGUGAUGAAAAAAUGUGGUGCAAAAUUUAUCAGCGAUCAGCCGGUUGGAUUUCACUAUGGCCUUCCCAACAAAUGGGUCAACCAACGUGCAAACUAGGUAUUAUUAUUUUUGAGUCGCCACGUCGCAACUGGAUAAUUAACACAGUGGAGUGCUAGGGCCCAUUCACAAAUUUCAUAACGCUAGAAGGGGUGGGUGGGUGUCCUAGCGAUGUUACGGUCCAUACAAAAACUGAAUAACAUUCAUACAAAAAGCGUUACUAGGGGGUGGGUGGGUGCCCAUAAUGGCCAAUUUCAGCGUUAUGAAAUAAAUGAAUGAACCCCUAUUUUGCACACCAUAGUGAAUCGGGUUAGAGGCAGUCGAUUGAUUGAAAUUGUAAUUGUAAUUUAUUGGCAAAACGAGAACAUGUUAGUAUUUACAACUUUAAGUCAUGUCAAGGAACAAAUUACUUAAGACGAUUUUUCGAUCCCUCUCCCCCUAUGGUAAGUUUUUUUUGUAUGAAAAUUAAAAAUAAUUUGUAUGGCGCGUAAGAAAUAUCAACCCAUUCCUCACCCCUCCCAUAAUCCCUGACGCAAUUAAUGGACGACCCUUUACGACGCGGUGAAGUUGGACAGAAAUCGAUCUUCACACGUUGGUUCACCCUUUUUUUAACGCAAAUCAGUGCGUAUUUACAUAAGAACCAUCCAAUAAUAAGGUAAGGGGUUUUGGGGGAAGGGGGGUUAGGUUUGAGAUUUUUUACGUGCUUUACAAAUUAUUUUUAAUUUUCAUACAAAUAAUCUUACCAUGAAGGAGGAAGGGGAGGGUCUGAAAACCGUCAAAAAUAUCUUACGUAAUCAAUGAAUCAAUCUUAUCAUCAGUAAGUCGAAUCAAAUAUGUUUUAAGAAAGGUUAACUGAAAUACCCAAUUUAUCAUACUGAAUGCAUAAAAACUAUUUUUAGGGCCAGCGUUGCUAAAAUGUAAAGAGAGCCGUGUUACGUCACGCAAUAUUUAGCUAUUUUCAAUCCCUUUUCCCUAUUUUUUGUGUGGAUCGUUACGUUUGCUGAAGCCCCUCCCCAUCACGUAAUUUAUGAACGAUCCCUAAUCGUAUUAUUAAUAUAUUAUUUUUCUUCUUUCUGACGUUACGUUUCAACUUUUACAGUCAUUAACUGAGAAAUUUGUCACUUGACAAUCUUUCAUUCAUAUAUCUUGUUUCAAGCUUUAUGCCCAGGGUAGCCAUAACUGGUACAGCUUCCCUAUACUCAUUAGAAUUGCUAAGGAGUACCUAUCACAGGAAAGUGAUACGUUUCUCAGUGAACUACCAUAAGUAACGUUGUUAUGAUUUGGAAAAUUAUAGGAAUUAUUGAAUCUCAAAUAAAAAAAUCAUUUCUUCAUUUCA